CUCUUUGCCUGCUUGUCCUCACUCUCACUGGCAAGUUCAUUUCUUCACUGGCACUGCAGCCUGCCUCUUUGGGGUUCCAACAGAUACUGUAAGACCAGCUGAGACAUCCAGCCUCGUGGACUGAAUAACUACUGGACUCUUGGACUUUCUAUCAAGAGAGAAUAGUUGGACUACAGCAUGAUUGAUCAGAAACAUGAUUGAACUGUUAUGGUUAUUAGGAUGAUACUGGAAUUGUGGAGGACAUGAGGAAUGCAGUUUGCUGUGAGUCCAGAGGAUGUCUCUUCAGCAUUCAGACUUGUGAGCUUAGAAAGCUGCCAUUGUGAAGAACCAAGGAGCCUCCCCAGCCACAGCACUGAGAAGGUACCCCAGACUGGAGCACAAGACCCAGUGCACACAGCUACUAGACUUCAGUUUCUGUCUUCCAAAACUACCAGCAGCUUUUUUCUCUGCUUGGAAAGCAUAAUUCUGUCAGAAGCCGGGAGUAAGCACCAUAUUUUCUAACAAGAAUACACCGUAAGGACACAAGGAGCCAAGCUGACAACACUGUCACCAGGGUCCUAGAAAACGCUGACUUUUCCAGAAUAUGAAAACUAGCCUUCAGAGUUAAAAUCUUUGAUCUUUUCCUGGUUUAACAGUUGUUAUUGUUGUUUUUUAAACCUCAUAGAACAAAUUAAUUUGACAUGCAUGUUAGAAAGCAGUAUUCCUACUCCACUACCUUAGUUUUUACUUUGGCACGUGUUCUAGAAUCUUCUCACAAAAAAUUAAAGAACACUGGUUAAUCACAUGAUCUAGUGGCUUCUGCUAAUGUGAACAUGAGGGAUGUCAAACACAAAUGUAAUAGUCCCUGUGUGACUGAGAUGAUUAUUGUCAGAGACAGAUCAAACAGCGAAAGAGCUGGAGGGGAAACAAAAGCCUCUUCUCUGUAAUUAGAGUCACCCAACAGAUGACCACAGGAAUAAAUCUGUGAUUCAAACAGGAAA
rnacentral:lncRNA from 1 species